CCGGCGGGCGGGUGUCCAGCUUUAGUCUCUAGUUUCCCUUCGGGAGGCGAAGACAUGACGCGGCGGGGCUUCCGCGGGGCCGAGGCGGCGGCGCGGUUCUCGGGCCGGGCGGGCGUGCGCGAGUGAGCUCAGGUGUGAGCGCCGGGGAGCGAGCGGGCGGGAGAACGACGCGCGCGCGUGGGGCGCCGGGGCCGCGCGAGCCGGGAGUGGGCUCCCGAUAAGAGGAUGAAUUCAGC
rnacentral:lncRNA from 10 species